CGCCGAGGUUGCGGGAGGCUGCGGCCACGGGCUGUGAGCGGGCGGGCGGGCGGUGGUCCCCUCCGUGAUCCGUCCCCUCCGGAGCCGCGGGGAGCGGGGGGCUUGCCGCGGGGCUCCGGACCGAGCGGGGCUGCCCUCCCUCGUCGCCGUCGCCCCGCGUAAAGGGUGAAAGCAGGCAGCUGCACCCUGCGGGGAAGAUCGUAGAGGCCUUCCCCGCUGGCACGGCACGGCAGGGCGGCGAGAAGGGAUCGCUGCAGAGGGAGAAGGCGCUGGGGGGGCUGCGCCCGUCGCGGCCCCCCGUCUGCCUCGCCGCCGGACCGCGGCAGCAACAGGCAGCGUCCUCCGGGGCCGCCGGGCCGGCACCGCACCGCGGGGUCCCCCCCCAGCCUGCUCCGGCCAGCUUCGCGCUCUGAAACGCUGGCGAUUCCUCCCUGUGCCUUUGUGCUUCCUUCAGCCCAAAAGCCUCGCUGAUCUCACCAGCUUCCUUCCACCAGGCUCUAGUAACAGCGAACUGAAUUUUGCUGAUCCCAGACGAGCCAUUUUGUUCUCAUCCUCGGGCCUGGCAAAUUCAGGGUUUGUCUGCAUUGCUGGGAAGUCACUUAAGACAGCUGACCAGCCCUGAUUAACAGCAGUAAUGGGGAGUAGACUUUACAGAAGACAGAAAAGGAAUUUACCAUCUGGAACUGUGGUGGUGCGGUUUGUUCUGUUAGCAUUUCACCAAUGCCUUUGUAGCACACUGACCUACUGCAUGUGAUGAUACAUCACCUUCCAUUUGAGCAUGCAGAACUGGCAUUCUUUGGAACUGCAGCUCAGUACCGAAGAAUUAGCAAGUCUAGCCUGCUUCAUCUGUCACAAACUUCACCCACUCAGCAACACCAUUCUGGCGAGUACCUUUCAUAAAUCUGUUCUGCAUCCUCAUGUGUCCUUACCUUGCGUCUGAACCAGCUAAAUGCCUGCUCACGCGGAAUGAGACUGGAGGUAGGCUGGGCCAUGCUCUGAAAUUCCAGGUUCUUCUGCCGUGGCCUGGGGCUUUUCCAGUGGCACGUGAAAUGGGAAGAUGAGUGAGUUCACAGGUAAGGGAGUCUUUCCCACUCCCUCCCUGCCAGGAAGGGCUCAGCAGAUGCUAACAAAUGAGGCGGAAAAAAGAAAGGAAAUUCCAGGAAUGUAAGAGAAAGGGAACUCGGUUAAUCUCUGGCAGUCACACCGAGAGUGCGCAGGUUCCUCCCCAUCAGGUAGGUAGUGUCACAAGGGGAGGUCUGAGGAGGUGGCUUUGGAGGGUCAAAAAGGGUAUGUGGUAUGCACUAGGAAAACACACACCACCAAUGACAUAAAUGUGAGGUGUAUAGUAGGGUGCAGACAUCUUCUGGUGCAGUCUGAGUUUUAUUUUGCCUUUUUUAAAACAUUUACUUAUUCUCUACUGAAUGUCUUGUUUCCAAACAGUGAAACAUACAGCAGCUACUUCUCCUAAAUGUCAGCUGAAUCUAUACUAGUGGUGUUGCUCAAACUGCAUUUUUAAAAAUAAUCUGCAAGCAGUUAAUGUGCUUUUUAAAUUCCCAGUGUUAUGUAAAAAGCACAAUAUUUUUAGCCUUACAAAAUAUCAGUUGUCAUCUCCUCACUCCCUCCCUUUGAUAUAUUGGAGAUGGGGGAACUAGAAGCUCAUAGAAACUGUAGAUACUCUUUUAAAAAAUAAGGUUUUUUUUCCGCAGUGUGGUUUUGGAGUUAUACAAGUCUUAAUAAAAACAUACAAAAAUACCCAAAACCUUAAAAUCAAGUCUGAACAAAGAAAGUACUUCGUAUUUAAAAAGCUAGCAAGUCUGUCCUCACUGCUGAAUUCUUAUGUCUGGAAUAAUGAUAGUAUAAUGUACCCAGAAGCAAAAUACCGACUUAAACUGUUCACUCAUGCACUGACAGAAUGGCCCUCAUAUUUAAAAAAAUAUCCAGAAAGUACCCUCUGCUAUAUAACGUAGAGUACACAGCUGCUGUGAGUAGGCUCUGGCAAAUCAACAUUGACUCAAACUAUUUUUGGAAUCGCGUCAGGCCUGCUGCUGUUUCUGGAGGAUGUGAAUACAUCUACCUGCUCUGCUGCUCUCCAUAAGGAAUAUGGUGGGAUCCAGAAUGCUUGCCUCUGUGCUUAUUUGGAGGUGACCUUUCUGUUCCCAUCUGUGUUUACAAGCCUUCUGAGGUCAAAUGUUUUCACCUGCUGACAACUGCCUUAAUAAGCACAUUUGAGCCUUGCUUCUUUCUGUGUUCUCUACUGAAAUUUGAGGAACAGGAUCUCGGAAGAGGCUGCCUCGCUACCUUUUCUUCUUACCGUCUUGCAACCCUUGACAUCCUGAUGGUACCCAGGUGCUUCUGGCUAGGAGGCAUCCCCUACCAGAAGCAGGCCAGGAAAGAAGAGGAUCCUGUCCUCAAACCCGUUGUGAUCAUAGCUGAUCCUUGAAAGAAAUCCCCUGACUUCCUGGGGUUUGUGGCACCAAUGCAAUUCAAGAGAUGGCCACUAGAAACUCCCGGAAUAAUAACGUUUAUUGUCGCACCGCACGGUAUAUGGAGGCAUGUGUCUUGGUACUGGGCUAAGGCGAAGGCCCUGACGUCCAGCUACAGGAAAGUACAGGAGAGACAACAGCCACCAGUCUGGGCAGUGUUAUGUCCAGCAACCAGUAUCCCUGUCACUUCCCACACAUACGGAGUGCUACUGCCUUGGAACAAAGCAACCGUCGGGUAAGCGUGCGUGCUGGCCGGUGCUGAGGAGGGCCUUCUUUAGCACUGCUGGCAGACAGUUGUGCUGGUUUUUCUUAAACCUGGUUGAGUUCGUGACUGGCCAGCAACUGCAGUUGGGUACCCCUGCCGUUAAUCACUAGUGGUUUUAAUGCCUGCAAGUACUUUUUCAUAGAAUUGUUUGGGUUGGAAGGGACCUUUAAAGAUGACCCAGUCUAACACCCCCCUGCCAUGAGCAGGGACAUCUUUCACUAGAUCGGAUUGCUCAAAGCCCUGUCCGACCUGAAGGGUAGCGGCUUGUCCUUACCCAGAAUCUUUAAUCUUCAGCCUACGCUGUUCUGUCCAUGUUUUUGACAGAAAAGCAAUUUCAAAUGGAAUCAAGACAUACACUGAGUCAAUAUAUGGGUUUUUUUCACAGUAUAGUACUAUCACCAGCCAUCACGAUGUUUCAAAAAGUUUCCCGCUUCUCACAGUCUCACGUGUAGUAGGCCCGUUCAUGCGUAGUACGCCCAUUCUUACAUAGUAAGGCCCUGAAACACAAGGUGCAGUUAAUGCAAGAGCAUGUCUUCUGCAUUUCGGGGGUUCUUAGAUUUUCUCUGCUCUCACAGAAGGCUGCUCUUUCUUUUUAUCUCCCCGAAGUUGGUUUUAAUCUGCGGUAGGUAAGAGAACAUUUAUCAUACUUUCACAUUUACUACUUCUUCCUCAGUUUACUGUCGGCUGGGAGAAGGAGUUGAAAAUUAUAGAUGGGAAGAGUUCUGGUCUCACGGUCCCUCAAAUCACAUGAAUAAUUGCUAUGUUUAGGCGAGUGGAAUUCUUCAGGCAGCAACUAUGUAACUUGAAAUUCCAUUCCUUGCUUGGAGGUGCAGGGAUUUGGAGAACAACAAUUUUCGAGUCAAAAGCUAACACAAAUGGAGACUCUAGGACUCUGGUAUAAUCUGGUAAGGAUGCAGCAUACUGCGGGCUUCUCAUCAGUGUAGGCUGAAAGACAAAAUGAAUUCUGAGUCUAAUGAGAGAGUCAUUCCAGUCUCAAAACCAAGCCAGGAGCCUGAGAAUAUGGAACAUGGAAGAGUCAAAAAGAGUCUACAAUUUAGCGUCCCUCUAAUCUUGACAGCAAGCUAAGGUCAUUAAGUUAAAUUUAGGCUUUUGGCACUGAAUGGCUGAUACCUGUCUGCAGUGAUGCCAAGUCUGAGGAGUUAGAGGCAAUGAACAGCAUCAACCAGACCAGACCUUCAUCCAUAUUCUUCAAAACAUUCCUCUCGGUACCGAACCAUACCCUCUACCCUUCUCUGUCCCAUUCCUCAAGAAGACUCGUUUGCAGUGUGUAGUCUAGCCCCUGUGGAAUGCCUCCUUUUGAAACUUAGGUGGGAAUGGAUACAGACAGUAUCCCAUAUGUACGUUCAAAUUUGGACCUCUAUGCCAAUUUCCACUUUCUUGGAUCAGGAAAAAAAUUGAGCCAUUUUACUGCAUUGGAGAAAUGCAGGCUGUCCGGUAUGUCCCAAAGCAAGUGGACAACUGGAACUGACUAAGAAGGCUCCUUCCCUUUCAGGGUGUUACAUUGGCGGUUGCUGUGGUUAUGUCAUCUUGCACUGCUCGCCUAUACAUUGUUUGGAUAUAAUACGUGGCUCUUGCACUGUUUCAAAUUUACCACACCCUUGCACAAAUCCACAGUAUUUUCUGUUUUACUUCAAAAACAUGUUUUCAAUACAAAUAUAUCCUUUCUUUUUUAUCAAAUCUCAUUUUUUUUAAAUAGGGGCUUGAUGACCACCUUGGGAGGACACAGUUUUGGAGACCAUGGCUGUAAAGGCCAAAUAAGCAGGAAGCAAAAGGAUUAUUGCGGGGAGGACCCAGCAAUUCUUUUCACGACAUUGAGCACUGUGUACCAAGGUGUUGGGAAGAAAGCUGUUGGUGGGAGGGCCAGGAAAAGCAACACUGAUCCGGAGAAACAGCUUUGUAAAUAUCCCAUUUAUUUCUCUUGGCAGCAGCAAGUCUAACACUGUCUCUGAAACCAUCAGUCACUCUGCAGAGGACGGUUUGAUAGGGCUUUCCUCAUAACUUGACCCACCCUGUUUUCAUUAGCAGCCUGAUGAGAUUCUGCUGGCUUAGUUUCCAGGCACCCUUCACUACCUGCUGUGCCCAACUUUUAGCCAGCACUGUCACAGACAUCACCUGGGACUCAAGAAUCCCAGGGAAGAAGUAUAUUUCCAUAUGAAGCCUGAACACAGAUGACCUUCAUGUAGAUUUCAACUGACCAAAUGCAUACCUAAAGUUGUUUACAUGAAAACUGAAGUGUUUUGGAUAAGGUUAAAAGUUCCAAGUAACUUUUUUCACAAGCCACGAAAGCAAAGCAUCAGGAGGUCUGCCAAGUACCUAGGAGACACGGUCAUCAUGUUGACCUUCAUCAAGGCAACUGGAGAAUGCCUUGGUUGAAGGAAAUGCAUCUCCAGAGACGUGCAUCCACAGCUGAGUUCUUUAAUGGUAUGUCUCGAGCCCUUGCGCAAGCAUCUACUACUGACAGGCAGGGAUGGCCCACAGUUAAGAGGGGAAAAGCCCUUUGCAUUGGUGUAAAGUGGCGGUAGUCAACAGAUCCAGAAAUUAGGCUAUGCCUCUGUCAUCUCAGCAUACCUCUGGAGAACCCAAUGCGCAAAUUGUCAAUGACUUGGUAAUACGAGAUGGAACACUUUUUGAGGACCUCUCCUGCAUUUUGAACAGUAGCUGUGGCUACUGAUCUCUCAGUAUCACUUAGACUAGCUACAAUGGUGCUGGCAAUGGUGGCCUGUAAGUGCUACUACCCUACCCUCCACGGUCAGUGGCUUUCAUACAGUGCUUGAUCACUUUGCUAGAUACAGAAUGAACUUAGCACAAAUCUUCAGUAAGGCCUGUCACACCCUUAUAUUUUCAACCUACUGAAAAUCAUACUCUGCUUGAACACGAGCUCUCUCCCGUAAGUUGUCACUUGCCACAGACUCCAAGCUGCCACUGAAAGGACAGUGCCUCCACUGCAAGGCCCUGCUAAUUAUCGUGACAACCCCAUGAAACAGUCAAAGAUUUUUGUCUGGUCUGUAGUCAUCCUCUGAUUCAUACUGGCGGUAAAUUCACUAGCAAACAUACUAGUAGCCACAUGUACUAAACCUGGCAACUGCAGAAAACUUCAUAUAGCUCCGCACCUCUUGCUUUUGGAAAGCAAGGGCUUGAGGGGCUGCACCUCUUAAAGCUGUAGUCAAAUUGUGUUUUACCGUGCAGUUUGUAGAUAACAUUUCCCUAAUAUUGUUUUGCAAGCAGACUGUUGGACCAUGUGCCUAUAUUGUCUGUUUGGUUUGUUUGUUGCUCUGCUCCAGGGCCUUCGUUCCUUGAUCCUCUACACUGUGUACACACUAGGUUUUGCCAGGACUCCAGGCUGGAGUUAACCAAUUAUUUGGUUUUGUGAGGCGCAAGAGAGAGGGUAGUUUGCUUCAAGAUCCACACCCUAUAGAUAAUGCAGGUGUGGACUACACCAGGCUUCAUUCUUCCUGACCAGAACAAUCUUCUUACGUAUUCCUAAUGGACUCACAAGUCCAACGUGCCCUGGCAUAUGCAUGGCACAUCUUUGUAGGCACACUACGAAAUAGAGAAUUAGCAAUCUCCAAAGCCCAUCCCUGCUUUUCUGGCUAUCUAUCUCACUUCUUAUGCAAGAAAAUAAUAGCACUGGGAUAGAAAGGGGCCACAUGGGGACUGGAGUGACCGGGAUCCUGUCUCAGGUUAAUGUUACUGAGACUGUAGCUCAGCAUCUCUGUCCCUCCAGUACUGAGCAGCUGCACCGCAUGCUUCUCUGGGAAGCCACCACAGAACUUCUCCUGUUAUAUGACAUAGGAGGAGGCUCGGUAUGAGACCAAGGGAGUUGAGAACCUGCUUUUGCCUCAGGAGUCAGGAGGAUGUGCCUCAGGAGGAUGUGGGGGAAGAACCCUUUUCCAAGGACACGACACCCUCCCACCAACACAUAUACACACACACUGAAAUUAUUCCUGGAACUUUUUGUCAAAAUCCCCCAGGAUGCAACAAGGUGUGCACCCAGCUCUGUUGAGUACAUACAUCUAUUUGAUUACACUCGUUUGCAGGAAGGAGCAUGGCUUGUUUGUGCCAUGCUUACAAGACUACAUAACGAAGUGAAAAAAGGAGACUUCUACCACGAGAGCAUGGCACUCGGGGGUGGAAAGAGGCUUGCACCACACACAGGAACUCUUUAAUUAGCAGGCUGACAGAUCUGUUGCUGUGACAGUCAGCUCUGACAAGCAAUAUUUGCCGCAGAACCGCCAAGUACGUCACCGCUUGUCUUGCUGGUGGCAAGGGGUGGGGUUGAGCAAAUGGCAGGGGUACCUCGGAACGCAGAAGUGGCUGCUGUCCAAGCAGAAUGGGCUCUGGCCGCCAUCCAUACUCGGCCGCACACACGGGCAUGCCCCAGUCACCCAUCCCUGCUUCAGCUGCACCCCACUGCCUUCUCCAGGCCUUGGCUGGCUGCUUGCGGUUUUCCAGAGUUGCGGAACAACUUAUACUCCACCCGGGGGAAGAGAUACCCGCCGGGCCUGCCUGCUUGCUUCCCUCGUCCCUCAGGCACAGAGCCCGGCAGCACCGAGCGGGAGGUGUGGGAGAGCGGUGUGAGAGGGAGGAAUCCUGCCGGUGAGCCAGCCCCAAGAGCCAUGGAGCUGCAGGCCUGCCGCCCCGCCGAGAAGCGGACGGAGGCAGCAGCUCAGCUGGAAAUCUUGGUGGCAGGAGACAAGGAAAAUAGCAGCGGUAACUCAUCUGGGAGCUGCGUCUCCUGCCCAGGAGCCCCUGCCAUGGCUCUGCCUAGGAAAGACCUGCCAGCCCUGCUGGAAAUGGAGCUUCUCCCCUGGGCAGACACCACCCCAGAGCCCUGCUCCCCUGGCUGCCUGGCCACGCUGAUGGCAUGUCAUGAGCUGGCAUGACCCAGGUCAUACCACAGGGAUGCUUAGCUCCCUCCUAUUCGUAUAUGGCUGAUCUGUCUCACUAAAGUGUGUUUCCUGGCACAGCAAGGGGUUUUUGUUCACAGCUUAUGGCCUAUUCUAGUGCUCUAGUCAGGGUAAUCUAAUUGUAUGCGUAUGGCUAGAAUGGCCUUCUGAAGUACGUACGUAUGUUGUGUGUACCAUGCAAUACUCUUGCAGUGGGAUUUGAAGACCUGCAGUGACACUUUCCAGAGAUCACGGAGGCUCUCUGUAGCUGCUAAACAGCUCCCCUGCUUGGGUAGGGACACUUCCCAAGUGUGCUUUGCACAGCAGACUCGGUUUUGAAGGGAAGCAGCAGAGAGACACCAGUUGUCUGUCCUGGGUAGCUGGUUGUUCAGGGCCUUCUCCAUGAGAAUUCAUGACCUUUGCAAACAGCAUUCCUGACUGCGUGCCAGUUUCACAGAUGCAGGAGGAUGACUCGGCUCACGAGGACUGGAGGCUCUGCCAUCCCCAGCGCAGCUCUCCGCGUUUGGCACCCAGCUGUCGACACGCAUCCCACAAUGGGGCCGAGGCACUCCAACUUGAAACUGCCGCACGGUCAGGAGAAAGACAGCUCUGCGUACAUCACGGCCUCCACAGAGUGGGAGCAGUAGCUGUGGCAGGUGUCAAUCUAUGCCAGAUGUCACCUUUCCCAUGGAGAACACCCUGCAUGGGGGAGGGAGUAAGGAGCACACCAGAUCCUAGGAGAGCUCUUGUCAGGGUGCGUUACAUCCGUUGGUCCGUACGGAUGCAGACAAUUUGCUGCAAGUGGCCCUGCCCUAGACAGCGUGGGCCUAACCUCGUCUGUACCUCUUGGCCUUGGGGACCAAAGUGGACCCACUAUAUAUUCCCAAGUCUUCCAGUAGGCCCAGACAUAGCAUUUAAUACAGCACAGGGAAAGGUUAUGAGUAGCAGCUUAGCAUUAAUCAAUAAAACAUGGUUAGACUAAACCUAAGUUAUACGACUAAGGAAGAAUCAGAGACGCAACACAGAUAUGAGUCAGAACUUUGCAUUGGCUAGGAAAAACAUGGACUCCUAUGUGGCAUCACUAAUUAUUAACUAACUCACGCUGAGAUAAAAUGGCACCAAUUGAUCUGUUGAUAUCAAUGGAAAUUAGACAGAUGCAGACAUUUUACAUUAUUAACACAACUGAAGCAUCCUGUCCAGCAUCCAGAUUGCUUUCCUCUGACCUUAAACCUAUUGCUAACACAAAGAUUCCCAUCUGCAGCUGCCUGAAUGCUCUUGAAUCUAGGCGCCUAACCACUGCUGGCAUACCCCCUCGUCUCAGUGCAGUGCAUGAAUUUGCCACAUCACUUCUGCAUGGCAUUAUUCUUUAUUUAUUCAUUGCAUUGCACCGCUGAACUACCAGUGAAGAUUCUUUAUGUCUGUCUCCAUGAAAACUUAGUCUCUCUGAGGUGGGUUCCUUCAACUCCUAAGAAUUUCUAAGCUUUGAUUUGAUGGCCAGUACUGGGACUUGCUUCCUGUCACUCAUGUCAAAGAAGUGCCCAGCUAGAACUGCAUGUUCUAAAUCCCUCCAACAUCUGCUUUGUAGCGGGCUGUCAUCUCACCCAUGGUGCAGAGUAGCAUUCACACCAGAAUGUACUCCAAAACACCACGGCAUGGCACAGCCAAAGCGAUUUAUGCAGAGGACCGCUGCUAAUUCCAGAAGUGACAAGGUCUGGCACAAGCAGCUGAGUAUACCUGCUGAUCCAUCUCUGUACCCAGAUAGCUAAAUGCCUAUUCAGGACUAAUAUUUUACUUCAGCUGAUGAGACUGACUACAGCUGUGUGCAUCUCAGGGCACUAAUUUCAGUUUGCAGCAGAAAAGCAUCUACUCUUCCAAGCAAAGAAUUGCAUGAAGGAAGCUUGCUAGCAUAAGGAGAUUGUUACUUUCUUUCCAGAGGAAUCAGAACUAACAUAGGGAAGUUGGUUCAUCUUCAUUUCCGAUUACAAAAGCACAAACUUUAAAUCCACUGUAUGACAAGCAUGAAAUCAGAUUAAAGUUUCCCCCCGUGUAUUCUGAUGUAUUCUGAUUUGAGAAUUCUAGCUUUCACAUAUCCUACCUGCUAAACACUUCUCUGUUUCGUAUUUGUUUCCUCAUAGUGAGGAGUUAAUACAAAAUGUCUAAGAGGGUCUGCCUUUUUCUUUUUCUUAUUCUCACUUUGCUUGAUCUGCCUUCAUGAGCUUUUAACAUCACCACAUUGAUGAGAUAAUCAAACGUGCAAGCAUCUGGAUUUAUGGGGAUGUGACCAGAAAGUAUGAGAAUGCAGGGUUUUUUUCAUAUUCUCUCAGCACUUUUUUAAUCUCAGUCUGAGACAUUCUUUGUUUUCUCUGGAGUCAGAGCUAGCCCAGGGAACAGUGGCAGAGUACUCCAAGGUCAGGCUGAUGGUGUAAGGUGCGCUGUCACGUUCCAGAAUUCGGUUAGCGAUUCCACAGUGAAAUCUUUUUAGCUCUGCACUGACAUCUUUACCUGAAGAAGAGGGAAUAAGAUUGUCUGCACUGGCAGUGAUAGUGUUAGAAGACCCAGCACAGAGUUAUCUUCCUUAUCCUGUAUAAUUACUUUGUGCAUUAAUCAGCGGAGGUAACGGGGCUGAUGCCAUGCCUACAAAAGCAGCAGUAACUUCAGGAUUAUUUAGCACCCAUACAAGAGCUAUAUAUCCCUAAGCAAUUCACAGCUAUAGAUCAAUAGUUCAAUGGUUGCAGCUAUGUAAGGAGCGAGAUGCUCAGUGCUAUGCAUUGCUAUGGGUGACAUUUUCAUAUGGUAUGCAAAACCAAAAAACCUCACAGAGGGCCCAGUUUUUCCAACUGUAUCAGCUGGUUAAAUAAAAGAUAUUAUCUCUUUGUACAAACCUUGCUUGUAAAAUUAAAGAUUUGUUUACACUG